rnacentral:misc_RNA from 1 species
UUUCCGUAGGUGAACCUGCGGAAGGAUCAUUCAUAAUAAGUGUUUUAUGGCACUUUUUUAAAUCCAUAUCCACCUUGUGUGCAAUGUCAGGGUUGAUUUUUCUCUCGAGAGGAUCAACCCCAAACAUCAACUAUAUCUCAACUCUUUGUCUGAAAAAUAUUAUGAAUAAAACAAUUCAAAAUACAACUUUCAACAACGGAUCUCUUGGUUCUC